rnacentral:rRNA from 1 species
UGCCAGCCGCCGCGGUAAUACGGAGGGAGCGAGCGUUAAUCGGAAUUACUGGGCGUAAAGAGCUCGUAGGCUGUUCGGUAAGUCGGGUGUGAAAACUCUGGGCUCAACCCAGAGAGGCCACUCGAUACUGCUGUGACUAGAGUGCGGUAGGGGAGCGGGGAAUUUCUGGUGUAGCGGUGAAAUGCGCAGAUAUCAGAAGGAACACCAGCGGCGAAGGCGGCGCUCUGGGCCGGUACUGACGCUGAGGAGCGAAGGCGUGGGGAGCAAACAGGAUUAGAUA